CACAUUUACUCUGACAAGGUUUCUUAUUCGUAGCUCUUUUACACACAAGUCCCAUGUUUGAUGCAGGAUAAUGACGCAGUAUUCAAGUUUUACCUGUUUAUACUAGACUGCUUGCCACUGGUUAAUCCUGGGUUCCCAAACUUUUGUUGGUCUCUCCUUUUGCGGAGACAUUUUUUGCAACCUCAUGAAUUAUACUAAAUAAUAUUAAUAUACUGUAUUUGCUAAACAGUUGUUAACUUUCAUUUUAUGAAACCAUUUAAAAGUUAAUGCAAAUCAAGUUUAGUGAUAGUUCAAUCAGGAAGACACUCCUCAGUAGUCCUCAGUAAUACUGCUAAGUAUAAGCUACUUCUCGUUCAAGACUGAUCUGCUCCAACAGGUCCCCCCUCCAUGCCUGCUCAUGGCCACAAAAAGGCCAAGAAAUCAUGUCAUUUUCAGGCUCCUCAGCCUAAGAGAAGAAAUGUCUCUUCUUCUACUCGUUCUCUUGCUCACCCAGCCUCAUUUGCUACCCCAGCCACUCUGCUGCAGAUAACACCCUGUUCGCCAUUAUACAGUCUCUGGCUGGUUCCAAGCAAUCGACGCACGCCUUCAGUCCCUGGAAAAUGCUUCAGCCUCUGCCUCAUCAUCAGCGACUUUCGUCACCACCCAGGCCUCCAUGAUGCAGCCUGCCUCCGUGUUCAACCAGCCCAUCCAUUGCUGGCCAUAUUCCCUCAUUUAUUUUGGUCAUUGCUGACUAAGUUGGCAUAUCAUGUUGCUGGUCAUUACUGACCAUAUUCAUUUAGUUCGUGGUCAUUGCUGCCCUCAUUUUGUUUUCUGGCCAAUGGUAGUCAUCCACUACCUUAACCAUAAUGGAAAAAAACACAUUUUCUUGAUUUUAUCAGCAAUACUUUUGUGACUAAUCCAAUCUGCUGCUGCCUGAUAAGGUAAGGAACAAUAUUUUAUUUUGGGGGGAUAUUCCUGUACAGCUCCCUACCCCGUGAAAAUGAUGAUGUCACGAUGAGGUCUAAUCGCCAAACAAUCACUUAUUUCUUCAACUUUUCCUAUUGUCAAAUAAAUAAAUUUAAUUACUCUUUAAGCCUCUCUUUCAAUUAAGUCUCUUGAACUUACAUUCUACAAUCAAGUAUCUGAGUAUACUGAGCAGACCAGAGUAGACAGGCAAUAUACCAGGGUUAAUACCAUAAUUAUCCAUUAUAUAAUGUAGAAAUUGAAUACUAAACUGUCAUGGUACAGCGUACCACUUCUAGUGUCUGUUUGUCCCCUGUUAGUUCUCCCUCUGUGUUUGUCUGUGUGUGUGUGUGGCUGGCAGGGUGUGGCCUCCCAGGAACCUCCAAUCAAGAACUGACAAACCUGCUACACUCUUGCUGUUACUCACCUGAUCUCCAUCCACUAAUCAACACCUGACAGCUCACCUCAGCCACCAUCUCCUCACCACGGACUCUCCACCGCUUCACCUCAGCCUGUUGUUCUCAUUCCGCCUGCCUGCUCUCACCAACCACUCGCCGGCCAGCCAUCUUUCCCCUCCACACACCUAGUGUCUACUCGUGGUUACAAUAAAUUUAAACUAAUCAUUUCAA